rfam:Hordeum vulgare subsp. vulgare, WGS project CAJW01000000 data, contig: morex_contig_1284226
GACUCUCGGCAACGGAUAUCUCGGCUCUCGCAUCGAUGAAGAACGUAGCGAAAUGCGAUACCUGGUGUGAAUUGCAGAAUCCCGCGAACCAUCGAG